rnacentral:rRNA from 1 species
UACGAAGGGGGCUAGCGUUGUUCGGAAUUACUGGGCGUAAAGCGAACGUAGGCGGUGUUCCAUGUCAGAGGUGAAAGCCUGGGGCUCAACUCCAGAAUUGCCUUUGAAACGGGGACGAUUGAGUCCGAGAGAGGAUGGCGGAAUUCCUAGUGUAGAGGUGAAAUUCGUAGAUAUUAGGAAGAACACCGGUGGCGAAGGCGGCCAUCUGGCUCGGUACUGACGCUCAGGUUCGAAAGCGUGGGGAGCAAACAGG